GGGUGGAGUAAAACCAGGAGGGCCUGGGCUUUCCCUGGAGUCGCUGGGCUUUUCCGGAAGGAUUGUGAAGUGAGGAAGGCCUUAGGAAAGACCAGCGAAGAAAGAGGGUGUCAGUGAGUGGGCGAGUGGUGACGGAGGGGAGGGAGAAGGGGAGAUGGAAGCAAAGGAAGAAAAGUAGCAGAGAGGAAGGAGGAGACCCAGGGAAGAGCAAUGCUACAGGAGACAAGCGUGUGGAGGGUUUUCUAAAAGGAGCUGACGAAACCUAGCGGCUGAGAUUCUGGAAAUAAUGACGGAACGUUUCGUCUGGAACUGGCUCACUGCGCAGGGCCAAGGAAAGUACCUGGACCAUGUGUGUUGAAGAAAUGAAGAUGGAGGUGGCACUGGAGUUCUUUAGCAAUGCUAGAGGCACAGGACCUGGGAGCCAGGAUUUACAGGCUGGGUAGCACUCACACCCUUGACUGCAGCUCAGAAUCAGCUGGGGUGCUUUUGAGAGAAAUGAUUCCUAGGCUCCAGCUCAUACCACUUAUGGGUCUAGAAAUCUGUACAGAUGCUCCU
rnacentral:lncRNA from 1 species